rnacentral:rRNA from 1 species
GCUUAACACAUGCAAGUCGAACGAUGAUGCCCAGCUUGCUGGGCGGAUUAGUGGCGAACGGGUGAGUAACACGUGAGUAACCUGCCCCUGACUCUGGGAUAAGCGUUGGAAACGACGUCUAAUACUGGAUAUGAUCGCCGGCCGCAUGGUCUGGUGGUGGAAAGAUUUUUUGGUUGGGGAUGGACUCGCGGCCUAUCAGCUUGUUGGUGAGGUAAUGGCUCACCAAGGCGACGACGGGUAGCCGGCCUGAGAGGGUGACCGGCCACACUGGGACUGAGACACGGCCCAGACUCCUACGGGAGGCAGCAGUGGGGAAUAUUGCACAAUGGGCGAAAGCCUGAUGCAGCAACGCCGCGUGAGGGAUGACGGCCUUCGGGUUGUAAACCUCUUUUAGUAGGGAAGAAGCGAAAGUGACGGUACCUGCAGAAAAAGCACCGGCUAACUACGUGCCAGCAGCCGCGGUAAUACGUAGGGUGCAAGCGUUGUCCGGAAUUAUUGGGCGUAAAGAGCUCGUAGGCGGUUUGUCGCGUCUGCUGUGAAAUCCCGAGGCUCAACCUCGGGCUUGCAGUGGGUACGGGCAGACUAGAGUGCGGUAGGGGAGAUUGGAAUUCCUGGUGUAGCGGUGGAAUGCGCAGAUAUCAGGAGGAACACCGAUGGCGAAGGCAGAUCUCUGGGCCGUAACUGACGCUGAGGAGCGAAAGCAUGGGGAGCGAACAGGAUUAGAUACCCUGGUAGUCCAUGCCGUAAACGUUGGGCGCUAGAUGUAGGGACCUUUCC